ensembl:lncRNA
CCCCCCCCCCCCCCCCCCCGGCUGCCGCGCGGCCGGAGCCAGGUGCGAGCGGGAGCGGGAAUGGGAAUGGGGUUGGGAAUGGGAGCGGGAAUGGGAAUGGGAGCGGGAAUGGGCGCUGAAAGGGCGGCGGUGCCUCAAAGGGCCCGGCUAGAGGCGCUGAGGGUCUCGGUUGCCGGCCCUUGCGGUUUCCGUGGCCGAGCAAGCGGAGCGGUGUGCGGUCCCCCCCGUGGCCGAGUGCCGGGGAGCGGGAGGCCUUUUUAGCCGCCUUGCUUCCAAAGGAUGGAGCAAGUCAUGGGCGUCACAGUGCCUGGAAAAUGAUUUUUGCGUUAUUAGGGCGUUGAGUUCAUUAUCCUGGUAAGUAUGAGCUACUGUUAAUACAGCUGUUUUUAAUUGGGAUCUUGCACGGGCGGUGACACAGAAUACAUAAAGCACACAGUGGAAGCUGUUUGAUGGUCAGGCACAAGGCACCCUGGAAUUCGGAAAGCCCAAAGCCUCUUGUGGGUGUUGGUGUGUGUGUGCUGGCAGGGGCAGCCGCACAGUUCCCUGCCAGCUGCUCACCGUGCCUGUGGCCGCAGGGUGGGCAGUGCGCCGCCAGGGAGCGCGGCAAGGUGUCCUGCUCAGCGCAGCACAUCCAGGAACAUGCUGGUGCAGGCAGGGUGUGUCUUUGGACGAGAAGCCAUGACUUCAGCAGAACUUAGGUGCUGGGCAUUAUUUAUAUGCCUCACGUAGCACAACCACCAGUUAAAAUCCACCAGCAGUCUUUGGAGCUGUGGUGGGAAAUCAUGGUCUUUGCCUGUGGUUGCCUUAGCAAAUGAUGCAACAAGAGAGCAGCAGAAGGUGAAAAUUUACAUAGUGGAACACAGUGCUGGGGGCCCAGUACUCACAUAACAAGUUUUAGGGGUUUUCUUUUGAACUGUUCACCUCAUUCCUACACAGCCUCCCAAUACCUAAACUCUGCUUCCUUGUUCCACAGCAUCAGCCUGUAAGCUGGAGAGCCACGCUCACUCCCACAGCUGCUGCUGUGACCCAGGCUCAGCAUUUCAUCCCUGAGUAGGAAACUUCAAAUGGAGAAACAACCCUUGUGCAGAAUGCUCCCCAUGCAGGAGCUCCAGUGCUCUGUAGGGCAGCACAGUUGUACCCUCUGAGGCUGAGGGGGGAGCCAGGCAUGGACCUACAAGCUCUUAUUUCAGGUCCUCCAGGUGCAGUUUUCUCUCCCACACACCUCCCAGGGGUGUGAGCUGCAGACAGAGUCCACUGGAUCUUUCCUGCCUGAACAUUCGGUAGCAGUGUGCCAAAAGUGGAGGUAGAACACUGCAGAAGCAUUUGAAUACUAACUGGUGGUUUCAAAAGAGGUGAUAAUCUGAUUUGAAAGGAAUUGAAGGUAGACAGGGUUUAUGCUGUCACAAUUUCUGGAAUCAUAACAUUGUUAACCUCUAGUCCAAAACUUACAAAGACUGUAGAUUUCUACAAAAAUUUGAGCCCAGGAUGAAGACAACAAACAACUUAAAUGAAAGCUCAGAGGGAGUGAUAAGAAUUUUGAUCUAUAGGAUGCUGUUAUUAUUGGAUGGUGUUUGAAAGCAUGGAUUCACUCAACAUCUUUGCUAAGGGGAGCUGACAUUGCAGUUCUGUUGUUACUUAGUUCAGUGCAGCUUUCUGAAAGCUGCCAUAUAAAAUUUCUCAUAAUCUCUGUCCUCAGGAGGCACUGGGGCAGUGCUUUUCAUGAAAACAGUUUGCCAUUUUGGUGCUUUCCAUUAUGGGGGAAUGUGAAGAUGUCAGGGUAUAAAUACUAGCCAUUAGAUUCUGUUGUUAAAUCAGCAUUUGAGUGGUUGGAAAAUUAGUGUGGAUCCUUAACUUGGACUCCCAGUGUCAGAAAUGUCACACUCUAGAAUAAUGACAGUUGCCAGCAGGCAGCACAGCAAUAUAAUUUUGACUACAAAAUAUGACACUAACACGAUUUAAACACAGUGCUGAAUUUUACAGAGUAAGAAAACUGAUUUAUGUGUGCUAUCAAAAGCAAAUUUUAGUAUCUGGUCAGGACAAUAUAUUUCUGUGUUCAGAAAAGUUAGGAUUCUUUGGUUUAUAAGACCUUUUGAAUGAAGAUACUGAUUUUCCUUCCAAGUUGAAGCUGCUAGAAUUGACUGCCUGUUUAUGUCCUUACAGAUGCCUAUUAAACAGGCAAGGCAAACCAAAACCAGAGGCCCAUCACAAAUAAACCUACAGGUAGUAAUGGUUUCAUUUUUUUAGGGCAAAAUACUUCAAAGAUAGUUAAACACAAAGUUCAGGAGAGCAAAGUUUUCCAGGUCACAAGAUUCUUUAUGGUUCAUCACGUGGCACUUCCUCAUGGGUUGUCCCCUUAUUCUACAUUUCAAAAGAAACUUUCAGACAAGAAGAUGAAUGGAGAUGAAGCACAGUCAAUGCAGGAGCAGUAAGAUCCAGCUUUAGUGCUGGAUGUAUCAUGUUACCCAUGUAUUUACAUGCACAGUUUUGUGUGCUUUCAUUCCAUAGCUGUUUUU